rnacentral:rRNA from 1 species
AACGAACGCUGGCGGCGCGCUUAACACAUGCAAGUCGAGCGGUCUGGGGGCAACUCCAGGCAGCGGCGGACGGGUGCGUAACACGUGGAUAAUCUGCCCUCGAGACGGAGAUAACCAGCCGAAAGGUUGGCUAAUACCCGGUAAGCUCACGGUCCCGCAGGGGACAGGGAGAAAAGUGGCAACACGCUUGAGGAUGAGUCCGCGGCCCAUCAGGUAGUUGGCGGGGUAAAAGCCCACCAAGCCGACGACGGGUAGCUGGUCUGAGAGGACGACCAGCCACACUGGAACUGAGACACGGUCCAGACUCCUACGGGAGGCAGCAGUGGGGAAUCUUGCGCAAUGGGCGAAAGCCUGACGCAGCGACGCCGCGUGUGCGAUGAAGGUCUUCGGAUCGUAAAGCACUGUCGCCCGGGAAAAAGAGAGUGAUGGUACCGGGAGAGGAAGCACCGGCUAACUCUGUGCCAGCAGCCGCGGUAAAGUCUGUACU